rnacentral:rRNA from 1 species
AUUGAACGCUGGCGGCAGGCCUAACACAUGCAAGUCGAACGAGUGGCGGACGGGUGAGUAAUGUCUGGUAAACUGCCCGAUGGAGGGGGAUAACUACUGGAAACGGUAGCUAAUACCGCAUACUAUCGGAUGUGCCCAGAUGGGAUUGGCGAGUGGGUGGGGUAACGGCUCACCUGGGCGACGAUCCCUAGCCGGUCUGAGGGGAUGACCAGCCACCCUGGAACGGAGCAACGGCCCAGACUCCUACGGGAGGCAGCAGUGGGGAAUUUUGGACAAUGGGCGCAAGCCGACUGCAGCCAGGCCGCGUGUAUGAAGAGGGCCUUCGGGUUGUAAAGUACUUUCAGCGAGGAGGCGUUACUCGCAGAAGAAGCACCGGCUAACUCCGUGCCAGCAGCCGCGGUAAUAC